AUCCAAGUGACGAGUCCCAAAUAGGACGAAAUGGAGCGCGUCCUUGAU
rnacentral:hammerhead_ribozyme from 1 species